UUUGAUCCUGGCUCAGAGUGAACGCUGGCGGUAGGCCUAACACAUGCAAGUCGAACGGCAGCACAGGAGAGCUUGCUCUCUGGGUGGCGAGUGGCGGACGGGUGAGGAAUACAUCGGAAUCUACUCUGUCGUGGGGGAUAACGUAGGGAAACUUACGCUAAUACCGCAUACGACCUACGGGUGAAAGUGGGGGACCGCAAGGCCUCACGCGAUAGAAUGAGCCGAUGUCGGAUUAGCUAGUUGGCGGGUAAAGGCCCACCAAGGCGACGAUCCGUAGCUGGUCUGAGAGGAUGAUCAGCCACACUGGAACUGAGACACGGUCCAGACUCCUACGGGAGGCAGCAGUGGGGAAUAUUGGACAAUGGGCGCAAGCCUGAUCCAGCCAUACCGCGUGAGUGAAGAAGGCCCUCGGGUUGUAAAGCUCUUUUGUUGGGAAAGAAAUCCUGUUGGCUAAUACCCGGCAGGGAUGACGGUACCCAAAGAAUAAGCACCGGCUAACUUCGUG
rnacentral:rRNA from 1 species